UACAGAGGGCGCGAGCGUUGUCCGGAAUCAUUGGGCGUAAAGAGCGUGUAGGCGGCCAGAUAAGUCCGCUGUGAAAUCUCGAGGCUCAACUUCGAGCUGUCGGUGGAAACUGUCUGGCUAGAGUCCGGAAGAGGGGAAUGGAAUUCCUGGUGUAGCGGUGAAAUGCGCAGAUAUCAGGAAGAACACCCGUGGCGAAGGCGGUUCUCUGGGACGGUACUGACGCUGAGACGCGAAAGCGUGGGGAGCGAACAGG
rnacentral:rRNA from 1 species